GACGAACGCUAGCGGCGUGCUUAACACAUGCAAGUCGAACGGAAAGGCCCUGCUUUUGUGGGGUGCUCGAGUGGCGAACGGGUGAGUAACACGUGAGUAACCUGCCCUUGACUUUGGGAUAACUUCAGGAAACUGGGGCUAAUACCGGAUAGGAGCUCCUGCUGCAUGGUGGGGGUUGGAAAGUUUCGGCGGUUGGGGAUGGACUCGCGGCUUAUCAGCUUGUUGGUGGGGUAGUGGCUUACCAAGGCUUUGACGGGUAGCCGGCCUGAGAGGGUGACCGGCCACAUUGGGACUGAGAUACGGCCCAGACUCCUACGGGAGGCAGCAGUGGGGAAUAUUGCACAAUGGGCGGAAGCCUGAUGCAGCAACGCCGCGUGCGGGAUGACGGCCUUCGGGUUGUAAACCGCUUUCGCCUGUGACGAAGCGUGAGUGACGGUAAUGGGUAAAGAAGCACCGGCUAACUACGUGCCAGCAGCCGCGGUGAUACGUAGGGUGCGAGCGUUGUCCGGAUUUAUUGGGCGUAAAGGGCUCGUAGGUGGUUGAUCGCGUCGGAAGUGUAAUCUUGGGGCUUAACCCUGAGCGUGCUUUCGAUACGGGUUGACUUGAGGAAGGUAGGGGAGAAUGGAAUUCCUGGUGGAGCGGUGGAAUGCGCAGAUAUCAGGAGGAACACCAGUGGCGAAGGCGGUUCUCUGGGCCUUUCCUGACGCUGAGGAGCGAAAGCGUGGGGAGCGAACAGGCUUAGAUACCCUGGUAGUCCACGCUGUAAACGGUGGGUACUAGGUGUGGGGUCCAUUCCACGGGUUCCGUGCCGUAGCUAACGCUUUAAGUACCCCGCCUGGGGAGUACGGCCGCAAGGCUAAAACUCAAAGGAAUUGACGGGGCCCCGCACAAGCGGCGGAGCAUGCGGAUUAAUUCGAUGCAACGCGUAGAACCUUACCUGGGUUUGACAUGGAUCGGGAGUGCUCAGAGAUGGGUGUGCCUCUUUUGGGGUCGGUUCACAGGUGGUGCAUGGCUGUCGUCAGCUCGUGUCGUGAGAUGUUGGGUUAAGUCCCGCAACGAGCGCAACCCUUGUUCACUGUUGCCAGCACGUUAUGGUGGGGACUCAGUGGAGACCGCCGGGGUCAACUCGGAGGAAGGUGGGGAUGACGUCAAGCCAUCAUGCCCCUUAUGUCCAGGGCUUCACGCAUGCUACAAUGGCUGGUACAGAGAGUGGCGAGCCUGUGAGGGUGAGCGAAUCUCGGAAAGCCGGUCUCAGUUCGGAUUGGGGUCUGCAACUCGACCUCAUGAAGUCGGAGUCGCUAGUAAUCGCAGAUCAGCAACGCUGCGGUGAAUACGUUCCCGGG
rnacentral:rRNA from 1 species